GUUGUUCGCUAUUGAAGCUGCUAUAAAGCUCAAACUCAAAUGCUUUUGAAAAACCGAACACCUUCGUUCGUUCGUUCGUUAGAGUGAAAAUAAUCACUUUAAUUAAAUUUUCCCAAUUUCGAACAAAAACCCACAAGGGUCAUUAUUUUUCCUCAUCUAGACCAGUAUAAUGAGCUGUUAUAUUAGCAACUUAUGAAGUUUUUAAUUGAUAUGGAAAGUUUCUGCGAACACAACUUUCUGAUGUUGAAGGAUCCUUUAAGCCAGGGAAUAGUUUCAUAAUAUUGUUUUAAUAGAAAUAAAGGAUCCCCUAAAAAAACAAGAACGAAGAAAAAAAAAACAAAAUAAUAAUCAACACAAGGUUCUUAAAUUAAAAAUCAAAAGAAAUCCCGCCCUUAAAAUCACAACAACGACAACAUAAUAAGAAAUAAAAACUUUUUGUCGGGGCGUUAAUUACACGCACACCAACACACUCACACACAUAUACCUUCAGUAGUCUUUCAUUAAAAAAAAAAAAAAAAUAAACCAAGUGUAAUUCAAAAAGGACGACAACGAGAAAAAUUAUGCAAAUUCUUGGGAAAAAAGGAAAAAUCCUUUCGUCCAAAGAUGAGACUGGCGCCCAAUGCGAGGGAAUGAGUAUACCUCCACAAAUAAAUUUCAUUAAAAUCAAAAGAAAUCACAAAGAACAAGCGCUCACACAAAAUGCAAAGAGAAUGGGAAAAGAAACUCAUUUAGACAAUCCUCUUAAAAAAUAAUAUUUGUUUUAUUUGUUUUAGACUUUUUUUCUUUUUGUAUAUUUUGCUGUUUCUUGCAAUGACGACCGUGAGACCGGAAAAAACGGUCCCCUUCCACCAAAGACGAGACUAUACAAAACCAAACGUCAACUAGAAGCAAUAUGCUCGAGGUAUUGUUUUGUCCCCAAAAAUAAAAACUUGUGCCCAUCAUCGCAACUCUCUGGGUGGACGGACGUCUGUGUUGUUCGGAAGGACCAUUCCUGAGACGUUAACUCGGGCAAGUGGAAGAGAGAGACCACCAUCGACCCCCUCCUCUUUAAAUGAACUAAAAAUUACGUUUCUGAGAUUAUGCAAAUGGUAUGGAAAUUUUGAAAAGUAUUUUCCAAAAACUGGAUGAAAUCGAAAAAAGUUCUUAAAUCAAGUUUUUUUUUUGCUGUUGUUGUGUUGGCUUGUUUUUUUUGUUUAAAUAAAAGAUCCCAAUUCCCACCCACUGGGCCAUCUUCUAAGAUAACCAUCAACAUCAUCGGUCUGUUACCUUUGUGUGUGACAAAUUUUGAUUGACAAAUCAAAGCGAAUAUCCUUAUCAUCGGGAUGGCUCACACCAUCAUUUCUUCCGGUGCUGUGCUAAUAUGCUGCCAAUGAAGAGACAACGGAUUCGGAAAAAAGAUUUAAUUAAAAGAGCCAACCCUUAUUCGGAAGCUAAGGCUCUGCGAGUUGUGAUGGCAAACAAGACCCCAUUUUUCUAAAAGUUUCCGAACCGGAACGGAUUUAGAGUGCCGCAGGUACG